rnacentral:rRNA from 1 species
UGGCGAACGGGUGAGUAAUACAUCGGAGCGUGUCCGCUCGUGGGGGACAACCAGCCGAAAGGUUGGCUAAUACCGCAUGAGUUCUACGGAAGAAAGAGGGGGACCCGCAAGGGCCUCUCGCGAGCGGAGCGGCCGAUGACUGAUUAGCCGGUUGGUGAGGUAACGGCUCACCAAAGCAACGAUCAGUAGCUGGUCUGAGAGGACGACCAGCCACACUGGGACUGAGACACGGCCCAGACUCCUACGGGAGGCAGCAG